rnacentral:rRNA from 1 species
CAAUAGCGUAUAUUUAAGUUGCUGCAGUUAAACAGCUCGUAGUUGGAUUUCGGGUGGGAAUGGCCGGUCCGCCGUUUCGGUGUGCACUUGCUACGCCCACCUUGCUGCCGGGGACGUGCUCUUGAGUUCACGCUCGGGACACGGAGUCGGCGAGGUUACUUUGAGUAAAUUAGAGUGUUCAAAGCAGGCCUACGCUCUGAAUACAUUAGCAUGGAAUAACACGAUAGGACUCUGGCCUAUCUUGUUGGUCUGUAGGACCGGAGUAAUGAUUAAGAGGGACAGUCGGGGGCAUUCGUAUUUCAUUGUCAGAGGUGAAAUUCUUGGAUUUAUGAAAGACGAACUACUGCGAAAGCAUUUGCCAAGGAUGUUUUCAUUAA